CCCGUGAACCACUAUUUUGAAGGCGAGGACCUCCCCCGAAACAUUUCUAACCACCAUUCCUGAGACUAAUUUUUCCCGAGAUUCAUUAAAAGCAGCGUUGAAAUUAAGUUUGACAACAGAACCAGUUGGUAGGCACCAACCCAUACACUCAUGCCUCAUGAUCACCCACAAAGAACAGCAAAACACUCGACAUUGUAUGCUGGAAUUAUUCUUGAACAACUAGGGCAAUCUCUGAAGAUAUUAUCAAUGUUUUCAGCAGUUGCCUGACAUCUGGGACAUACUACCACCGAGAGCAAUCUCUUACACUGAAGAUUCAUAAAGUGGGGAAUAAAAUUCUAAGAAAUUUUCCAGAUUAGGAUUUUAAUUUUCCUUGGAAUGUGAAUAUUCCACAGUUUUUUGUAAAAUAUUCUAGCCUCAAUCUGUAAAUAAUUAGGAAAAUGCCAUGUAAUAGUUUACAAGCAGUUCGCACAGAGAAUUCUCUAGAGGCCUCCCCCUUCCAUACCAUAAAGUCCACAUGAGGUUCCAUUGCUAAAGGAAUUCGCAAAAUUGUGUCCGCCUCUUCUCUAGAGAAGGUAGAAUAAAUUAAGUCAACCUUCCAUUUUUCUAUCA